rnacentral:lncRNA from 1 species
CGGGUGCACAGAACUGAGCCUUCCGUUUUCCCGCCUCUACCACCCGAAAACUGCCCGGCAAGGGUCUCUCCGCCUUUGUGAGCGCCGCUGUCCCGGGGACCGCGGAUUGGAAGCAGGAAGUCACUGGCCGCGGACAGAAUCUCUCUCUCCUUCCAUCUCAGGCAUUCUUGAGAGUCUAAAAAGUGAUUCUACUAUACAUCAGCAUUCAGAAAAUGAGGUAUCCAAAGUUAUUUUGC